ensembl:lncRNA
AUGAGAAGGAAAACAAAAGCGCAGCGAAUUCUUGACUACGAAAAUGAAGAGGACGAGGAAGAGGAACAAAAAGCGGACUGCUUCAGCAACGGUGCACAGAAACGAAGAAAAAUGUUUUCCACCAAAGAAAAAGCAGAAGAAGAUAGCUCAACCGACGCCGGGCUUCAGAAGUUAACGUUAGACAUGAAGUUUAUCACUCCUGAACUUUUGGAGAGUUGUAACACAGGCACCACUGCCCAAAAACUGACCAACGACCUUCUCCGUGGACUAUACGAGAGGGAAUGCCUGGCUUCCCACUCCAUAUCUGGAGUCGUGUACAACAAAAGAGGCCAGCCAAAGCCUGCUCUGCCCACCGAAGAGGUCCAGGCAAUCCUGAGAACCGUUCAGUAUUUCUUUCCUGGCAAGACUGACGUAGAGAUCAAGGGCUACAUCCGACAGAAACUGCAAAACGAAGCCAAGAGGCUGAGGAAGAAACCGUCACUCUCAGGCCAAUACGAGUCUAAAGGGCUUAAUCUACCGUUAGAUAUGAUUGACCAAAAUUGACACGUAUGGUCGGUUAGUGGAUA